GGUUUGUAUGACCAACUGAGUACCACAGAAGUGAUGUUAGUCCCUUCAAAGGUUAUAAAUUGCACUGUAGUUUUCAUCUCGAUGGCCCUUUCUCAGGUCACUCACUCAGGAGGCCAGCUGCCAUUUCAUGAGGACAAUCAGGCGGCCUAAGGGGAUGCCUCUGUGGUGAGGAACUGAGGCCUGCCUAAAAACACACGAAGUAGAUUUACUAGACUUCAGAUGACUUCAAUUUAGUAGACAGCUUGACUGCAACCUCAGGAGACACCCUGAGCCAAAACCAAUCAGUUAAGCUGCUCCCAGAUUCUUAAUCUAGAAAAGCUGUGAGGUAAUAAAUUUUUAUUGUUUUAACCUACUAAGUUUUGAAAUAAUAUUUUACACAGCAAUGAAUAACUAAUGCAGCCAUCUUAGCCAUUUAAAUUCAGCCCUGACUGGUUUGGCUCAGUGGGUAGAGCAUCGGCCUGUGGACUGAGAGGUCCCGGGUUCGAUUCCAGUCAAGGGCAUGUACUUUGGUUUGGGCACAUCCCCAGUAGGGGGUAUGCAGGAGGCAGCUGAUUGAUGUUUCUCUCUCAUCGGUGUUUCUAACUCUCUAUCCCUCUCCUUUCCUCUCUGUAAAUUCAAUUGAGCCACCAGAUGAUCACAGCCCCAGCUGACAUGAAGAGCAGAAGAAGGCCUCUAACCCAAAUUAGCAUAUAAAAUCACUAAAGGUGUUGAUUCCUAAUAAACAACUUGUACCACAAACUUCUCAGAUCUUCUGGAGAAUCCAACAAAUACAUAUCUUAUCUCUGGAAAGAGGCACUUUGGCUUACCCCUGCUUAUAAA